rnacentral:sRNA from 1 species
ACAAGUCAUUUCCUUUAUGAAUGACCAUAAAUAUUAGAGCUAUGUUUUACACUGAGAUGAACUAUGUUUUCUUAAAACUGCUUUCACAACUCUUACAUAGCUUCAUCCCUGGUUUCUCUUUAGUUUCUUUUAUAAAUAUCCAUAGUUCCUUCAAACAUUUUUCAUAUGAUUUCAUCUCAAAGUUUAGUGCAAGCCAUGUUUAGCUUCAAGUGUCAAGGCCAGAACUGCCACAAAAAUGUCCAGAUGUAGCUUGGCAUAUGCAGUACCAAGUCCACUGUUUAUGUUUUCUUUCAUGAUCUAGGUACUAUGUAAUUACUACUGGUCUACAAAUGGUAUCAUGACCCUUAAAAAAACUACAUUCUAUAAACAUUAUGCAUUAUGGUUAUAAAUAAUAACUUUCCCCAAGUCUUGUUUCAGGGACUGUUUUUAAACCAGUAUUCCCAUGUUAAAUCUUAGUCUUUUAACAGACUUAACUCAAAGGCAACUUUAAGACCGGGGUCAAAUGUUUUUUCGUCGCCAGUUUCAGUUUGCUGUGCUCAGUUGUUAUCCCAUUGGGUAGAAAGUGGAGUCUCACGGUCAGCAUAUUUAUUCUCCUUUUCAAUCAGUGCUGUAGUCUUGUCUGGAGACGCAGGGUUCCACGGAAGUUCCCGUGAAUCCUGCUCUAAUGAGGUCAUUUGAAGUAUGAUGAAGAAGCAAACAAGAGUGACCGCUAAGCUGAUUGCAUGUAGGUUGGAAUUUCCCAACCUCAAAGAACUGGACUCUGCCAACAAGCUGAGUAACUUUGGAAGACGUCCUCAAGACUAGACCAUGGUUACUACCUUGAUUGCUGAGCACCAGUGGAAGGGGAAGCCCUGGGUCCUGCUAAGAAUGAACCCCCAGUGAAGGUCUUGUUCCGAGGCAGGGGAAGCAUCAGGUGCCUACCGAAGAAACCAAGCUGGCUAAACUAGCAACUGGAGGGCUGGGAACAGAACCCAGGGCAUGUGUACAAGCUACUACUCACCUACACUCCCAGCCCUGGUGUUCUCUACUGCUCAUUCGCUACCUUUCACCCAGCACCAAAAUGAUGAAUAUUCUGUGAGAUAGUUGACCUUGUAAACUCUCAUGGGAAUGGAAUUAACUGAAAGACGCACCUCUGGGCAGGAUUGUGAGAGCAUUUCCUGGAAGGACUGAUUGAGAUGGACGAUCCUCCCCCAGAGCGGGCAAGCUCCUUGAAGGAACCAAAAUGGAAAGAGGUCUGAGGAAAAAAGCAGGACUGCUUAGCUACCUGCCUUCUCUUCUUGCUGGUGAGUGUGUCUUUCUCCUUGCUGCUGAAGCUGCCAUGCUUCCUUGCCAUCAACCCAGCUCUCUUGGCUUUCCAAGCUGACUGAAAGCCCGCUGGACUCCACGAACCCUCCAGACCUUCAGAACUAGGUAGGCCACGUGGCUACAGUUUUCAGCUUCUCCAGGGUGCAGAUGUCCCAUGUUACCCAGACUGUAGUGUGUGAGUCAAUGUACUAAACCUUCUUUAAUACAUAUUCAUUGUAUUGUUACUGUCUCUUUAGGUGAACUGGGUCCAUUUAAACAGAAACAAAAACCACAGUUAUCCCUGGUUUUAUUUAGUACAUUCAUCAAAACCUGGAAUUUAAUACUGGGAAUAAAAUGGAAUCGGGUGGUCCUUGGAAUUGAGGAAAAUGGAAACAUGAGGGAUUCCCACAUAGAUAGGGAGGACGUUCACAAAUUUGAGGUCUAGAGCCACUAUGAUAUAUAAAAAAGCAUAGCUUUAAUACACUUUAGGGCAGGGUUGUUGAGAGAAGGCAACACUAAUCACUCUAACUGCCUGCCUUCCUUGUAAGAUACCCUCAUUCAAGUAAAACAGCUCUAGAGGCCUCUGCAAGAGCACUG